AGCAAAUUUAAGAGUCCUAACACCUGGGCAGGGUUUUUUUAAUUUCUACCAGCAAAAAGCAUGUUUCUCCAGAAAUCCGAUUUUGCAGUGCAUGCAAUGUGGUAACUCUUCUCUCCUGUGUUCUUUGAACUAAAGAAAAACAACAGUGGAAAAUCAAAGGUAACUUAAUGCAAACAAACAAAAAAAAGCCCAAACCCAGCACUGAAAGAAAAUAGAUGUCCAGACGGAAGCAUAAGGAGACAGCCCAGGACACAAAAACAACUCUUACCUUCUGCGUGUACCUGUGAAUGAAGCAGCUCUAUCCAGCAACUAACCCAACAACAGCCUGUGCACCAUCUUUUAUUAAAGGAGUUCACAAACUUUAUUCACCUGGUUAUCACAAUCAGUGGCUACCACAGUUGCCAUCAUCAUCAUCAAAAGCUGGACCAUGUAUCACUUGAAAGUGGUUUGUGUUCUGAUAAUGACAUAAAGGCUCGAGAUUAUAAUCUUUGGUUUCACUCCUCUCAAAGUCACUUCAACUGUGACUUACCUGUGACACUGGCUCAGAGGAACUCCAAGCUGAGCCUACAUACCCACAGAAAUGCAGUCGUUUGCAUAGACAUGGAUCUGCCCUCACCUCAAAGGAGUUACAGCUCAAAUAAAUGAAGCUUUUUCUUCCGGGAAUUUUACAUCUCCUUCAGCACUGGAUGAAAGCACUGCUGGACACUGGCCAGCUCCGACAGUGUUCAAAGGCCUAGGACUUCUCACAGCUGGAGGUUAAAGAGUCACUCACAAAGCCAGCCAUCAUACUGCCUCUCACACAAGUGCACCAGUGGGCCCCUCUCCUGCUGGCAGAUGGAGCAUUUUGCACUGCACUUUGAAAUGAGUAGAAAGAGUGACAUCCUUCAGAUGAAAAGAGUGGGAGAAUCUAAACAUAAUUAGAAUAUGUCCUAACGUCCUUGAAGAAACAUUUGCACUGGCUGUCAGCCCAGAUCCCACGUGAUGCACAUGGCACUGGAAUAGGCUGGAACAUGUUGCAGCAUUACAAAACUGCAGGUCUUCAUUAGUGAGGAAUCUUCCCUGUCUAAACAACUGUGCACAAAGCACCUAAGCAUUUUAAAUCAAGCAGAAUUUCAAUGAUGCAUAAAGGGAGUGCCAGAGGUAACUCACUUGGAUAUUAGUAAUUGAUAUGCCACUUUUCACUAUAUUGCUCUCAAAAUUAUUUAAGUUGCCUUGGAUACAGACAGAAUCUUGUCAGGAGAACUGGGUAAGAGACGCUACUAAAAUAGCAAUAUAACUUGAAAACAAAGAGUAACAUGACAGAAGUUUCUGACAAAGAAAGAUGGGAAUUAUUAGGGUUACUUUGAUUCAAAAUCUUCUUCGAUGAAGUAAAAUGUAGGAGCUAAAAACCUCCUUGUUUAAAUUGUAAUUGCAGAAUGAUGCAAAAAAUCAAUCUAGAGAAAAACAAUUUAUGAAAAUCUAAUGCAAGCUGUAGGGCUUCUUUUUAUUUAUUUUUUAUUAUUAUUAUUAUUUUUUUUUUUUUACCUUUUGUCAAUGCUGGACUCUACUGUUGUAGAAGAACUGGAGGCAGAGGUAAUCACCAAGAGUGGACUCAUCUGGGAAGAAUGCAGAGAAGCAUACCUGGGAAAAACAAUUCAAACCACAAGAAUUCAGUGCACAAAUGACACAUAGCAAACAGCAGAGUUAGGGGCAGAGGGAAAAUAACCAGACUGGCAGAUGGGAAUUUAUGAUAUAAUAUAGCAGGGGAAUAUUAAUCACUGUUAGGCUCUACUACAUAGAAAAAUUGCACCAUAGAGGGAUGAGGUACCUUCAGCAUCUCCCUCUCUCCACCCAGCAGGAGAAGGAAAAUAAUUUUUCAAUCUGGACAUCUUAGUAUUAGGGUUUAAAAACAAGUUUGAAACUGAGACAAGUGACCAGAAAAGAUGUUGAUUUCAAAAAAUUAGUAGAAUCUAGGAAGCAGGUUUAGCGAAAAGGAUCUAAAACCUAAUGGCAAGAUAUUUCAAGGACAGUUAUGCCCUGGUCCCUUCAUAUUCUAAGGAAGACAUCUCAGCUGGAAGGAUGCUUCUAUAACCAUUAAGGGCCUGACUGUAUUCAGCACUCUCAACACAUUAAUGAUUUCUAUGCACUCAGGCAAACUUAUCGGUCUAGUUAUUUCAGAGUUAUGUGAAAUUAGAAAAACUUGCUGUUCAAAUUCUCACUGUAGCAUAGUCUAUUAAACUUAGAAACAACAUUCCUAAAAA